rnacentral:lncRNA from 1 species
GAAAAACACAAUAUUUCAUACGCAUGCGCACUAAGCGUAUAUCCGCCUCCAUUCAUUCAUUUUAACAAACUUGAUUCAAGUCGGAAUUUCUCUCAAUUCACUCCCAAACACAUUUAUAAUACAUUUCUCAACCACCUGACGCACUUCUAACAACAACACCAUCCUUUUUUAAACCAUUUCCGUAAGUAUUAAACUAUUUAAUUUCUAAAUACUUCCUGUCUCAGAUGUCCUUUGAUUUGUGCGACAUUUGGCUGCUAUUUCUAGCUAUGGAGGCUACCUUCUACACUUUCCAUCAUUUUCCCACGUUUCUUGUGUUUUCACUGUGGAUAAAUGCCAGAAACGGCCUCAGACUCACCGAUAUUUGAAAUCGUAAACAGAAGCAACCAGGGGCGAAGAAUAGGGUUGAAAAAAAAUCAUAAAUGUGUUUAUGAAGAGAAAAACUUCAAAAGAUGGGAAAGUGAAACGAGGAGGGUUGUCUUAGGACGUGCUAGAAACAACAGCCAAAUCUUCCUUAAAUCACACUUUUUCCUUUGAAAAUAUUUACAAUAUUUUAUGUUUUUGUUACCGAAAAGGUUUCUCCCAUCGUUUUUAAGGGCAAAAAUAUGUUUUUUUGUUUUUUUUUUAAGUGAAAAGGGAAGAGGUUGGUGGUAAAUGAAAUUUUGAAAAUGCGAUUUUUCAAAAAAAUUUUUUUCAGAAUCGGAUCCUCCAUAACCAAAAAGUGGGAUUCCGUAAAAAACAAAAGAAAUAUAUAUAUAUAUAUAUAUAUAUAUAUAUAAAAUACAAAAUGGGACAAGAACGCAAAACAUCCAAAUAGACGAUACAAAAAACACGGACGGGUCAUUGGAAGCCUUCUUCAGUCAAGAACCGGAUCAUCCUCGCAAUCCAUUUUACCCUAACUUAUGACGGAAAAAUCGGAUCUUGUAAAUUUUCCGAAAGUCCCCCACCCCCCGGGUCGUUAGCGCAGUAUUUUUUUUUUUUUCGUAUUCGUUUUCUACAUAGUUACGGACAAAACCCUUUGUAACUUUCGUCCUGUGUUUUAAUUGAUUUUUGUUAGCCCUUGUGGCCAAUAAACGAACGAAUUAUUAUUAUUAUUAUUAUUAUUUUGUUGUCUUUGAACGACGAUAAUUUCCUGAAACAGUGAUUCUGUUAUAAUGGUUUCAAUGCAUUUAGGGAAGGCCAUUUGCUUAGCUGAUGUACUUUUUGUAGGUAUUUAAACAAGAGGUCUAUAAUUCCCCUAUUCAUCAAGCAAAGUAUAAACUCAACCACAUUUCAAACUUCACUUUCAUAAAUUUCACAAUAUCAUCAUCAUCAUCAUCAUCUUUUAGCAUCCGUUUUCCAUGCUAGCAUGGGUUGGACGGUUCAACUGGGGACUGAUCUGGCAAAGUUUCUACGGCUGGAUGCCCUUCCUAACGCCAACCACUCCGUGAGUGUAGUGGGUUCUUUUUACGUGCCAGAAGAGGCUGGCAAACGGCCACGAUCGGAUGGUGCUUUUUACGUGAUAUAUAUAUAUAUAUAUACACACACAUAUAUAAAUGUUGUGCAGUAAGAAUGUGUAACUGGAAUUUAGAAAUAUGUUAACUUCACACAAGAUUUUCUGAUGUAAACUUUAAUAAAUUAAAAAGUUCUGUUGUUCAGGUAAAUGUUUGUUUCUAGAGUUUAUCUCUAUGGAAAUGUUGAAUCUGUAUUUUUUAAGUAGCCUCUAUAUCUUACACUGUUGUUUCUUUAUUAUUUCAGAAUAUCAGAUGACAUCGGCAUAACUGAAGAUAGAUUCUCAUUAUUUAUCAUCUUUUAAAGACCAAAAUGGAAAUAUUGUACAGAACAGAUAUAUAAGAUUGUUUCUAUAAAUCUAUGGUGGAAUUCCUCUGAUAUAUUUACUCUGAAAUGUGUUAUUAGCAAACCUUUUGGACAUCACUGGCUGGAGUGUCUACAAGAUGUGUCUCUUUGCAAAUUAAACUUGGAUAAAUUUACUAACGAGGUAACACUUGACAGAAAUACAGCAGUCGAAAUACUUGCAAACAAAAGACUAUAGAAGUACAAAGAAG